UGGUCUGUCGAGCAAGCUUAAGCCGGUAGGUGUAGGCGCAGCGAAAGCGAGUCUUAAAAGGGCGCACGAGUUCGACGGAUCAGACCCCGAAACCAGAUGAUCUAGGCAUGAGCAGGAUGAAGGUUGGGUAACACCAACUGGAGGUCCGAACCCACACCUGUUGAAAAAGGUCGGGAUGACUUGUGCCUAGGGGUGAAAGGCCAAUCAAAUCUGGAGAUAGCUGGUUCUCCGCGAAAAGCUAUUUAGGUAGCGCCUCGGACGAAUACCUUCGGGGGUAGAGCACUGCAUGGGUGAUGGGGUCCCACAGACUUACUGAGCCUAAGCAAACUCCGAAUACCGAAGAGUACUAUCCGGGAGACACACGGCGGGUGCUAACGUCCGUCGUGAAGAGGGAAACAACCCUGACCUACAGCUAAGGCCCUAAUUCGUGGCUAAGUGGGAAAGCAUGUGGGAUUUCCAAAAACAACCAAGGAGGUUGGCUUAGAAGCAGCCAUCCUUUAAAGAUAGCGUAACAGCUCACUGGUCUAAAC
rnacentral:rRNA from 1 species